rnacentral:rRNA from 1 species
GACGAACGCUGGCGGCGUGCCUAAUACAUGCAAGUAGAACGCUGAAGGAGGAGCUUGCUCUUCUGGAUGAGUUGCGAACGGGUGAGUAACGCGUAGGUAACCUGCCUGGUAGCGGGGGAUAACUAUUGGAAACGAUAGCUAAUACCGCAUAAGAGUAGAUGUUGCAUGACAUUUGCUUAAAAGGUGCAAUUGCAUCACUACCAGAUGGACCUGCGUUGUAUUAGCUAGUUGGUGGGGUAACGGCUCACCAAGGCGACGAUACAUAGCCGACCUGAGAGGGUGAUCGGCCACACUGGGACUGAGACACGGCCCAGAUUCCUACGGGAGGCAGCAGUAGGGAAUCUUCGGCAAUGGACGGAAGUCUGACCGAGCAACGCCGCGGGAGUGAAGAAGGGUGUCGGAUCGUAAAGCUCUGUUGUAAGAGAAGAACGGGUGUGAGAGUGGAAAGUUCACACUGUGACGGUAGCUUACCAGAAAGGGACGGCUAACUACGUG